GCUGGAUGUGGUGGUGUGCAUCUGUAAUCCAAUGAUUCAGGAGGCUGAGGCAGGAGGAUCACAAGUUCAGCAACUUAGUGAUACCCUGUUUCAA
rnacentral:sRNA from 1 species